rnacentral:tRNA from 1 species
UUAUUACUAGUAUAAUAAGUAUGUUUGUUUUAAGGUCAAUUGGUAGAGUAAUAAU